AGGUUUUAAAAUAAAGAACGGUCCCAAAAAUAUUUAUAGAAAUAUAAAGUUGAUGGGAGAUAGAACAAGAA
rnacentral:tRNA from 1 species